UCGUCCUCCUCCUCCUCGCCGUGGGAGCUCCAAGAAAAAAGCUCGAGACCCCGAAGACUUGGAGAGGAGAGCAGAGGAAGCGGCGAAGCGGCGAAGGCCCAAUCUUCUCUCCGACGAGCUCGCGGUCGCAGUCUCCGACGGCCCAAUCUUCCCCACCGUCAUGUUCGCGUGUUUGCACAUGGAUUAAAAGUCAAUUGUUCUAUUGUGUGUAACAUUCUUUGACGGGUGUAAUUGCAACAUAUUUUGCUACUGGACUACUUUGGCUCUACCUUGGUUCGCAAAUCGCAAUUUGCAGGCACCAUCAUCUGCGCAAUUUUCCUAAAUUGCUUUCGCAGGUGAUGUGACAAGGCUGACAAGAAGUGCCUGCAUUCAUCUGUGCCUGGCUGAUCCUUGGUGUGAAUGGAAAGCAACAAUCUACCCUCUGGAAACUUGAUGCAGGAAACACCUUAUGCCAAUUUAGACUUGCAUCCUAACCAUGCGCAAAUGCAUGCUCCAAAUCCUGGAAAGCAGGGCUUCGACCAUACUCAGGCUCAGGCACCUGGCAAUUUAUCGAUGCAUGUGAACCAGUCUACAGAUUCUGAUCACUUGCCAGAAUUUCAAUUCGGAGAGCUUGGCAAGGCUGACCACCACCACUGCCAUCAUCACCACCACCGUCAACACACGAAGAAUGGCAUGAGUGAUGAUGAGGAUCAUGGUGUCAACGAGGAUGCCACUGAUAGCCAGAGCGGCAAGGGAAAGAAGGGUGCUGCAUGGCAUCGGAUGAAGUGGACUGAUUCAAUGGUUAAGCUUUUAAUUACUGCAGUAUCUUACACUGGGGAAGAUCCAGGAGCUGAUUCAGGAUCUGGGAGGAGAAACUCUGCAAUCAUGCAGAAGAAAGGCAAGUGGAAAGCGAUAUCAAAGGUCAUGGGCGAGCGAGGCUGCAGUGUAUCACCACAGCAAUGUGAAGAUAAAUUCAAUGAUCUCAAUAAGAGAUACAAAAGACUUACAGAUAUCCUUGGUCGGGGUACAGCUUGCAAGAUUGUGGAAAAUCAUGCCCUGCUGGAUUGCAUGAGUAAUCUGUCUGAUAAGAUGAAAGAUGAUGCAAGGAAGAUACUGAGUUCAAAGCAUUUGUUCUAUGAGGAGAUGUGCUCCUACCAUAAUAACAACCGAGUGAGUUUGCCUGAAGAUCCAGCCCUUCAGCGUUCACUGCAGCUUGCCCUUAGAUGUAAAGAUGAGCAUGAUCUGAGGAGGGGAACAAGUGGAGAUGCUGAUGAAGAUGAUCAAAGCGUAGACACUGAUUCUGAGGAGGAGAAUGAUGAGGAACAUUACACGUUACAAGGCGAUAAGAGUGCCCUGCCAAUGCAUAAAAGAUUGAGGCAUAUGACAGAUCAGGAGGAUGUGGGCUUUGGCAACUCUUCCAGCUCACAUGGAUGUAGCAGGAGGUCUGAUUCCCAUGGCAUAUCAUUGGAUAUCAACAAAGCAUUUCCAGAUGGAACCAACUUGGCUUUGGCGCAAAAGGACAUGGCUACACAAUCUGCAGAUCUUGAGGAACAAAGGUUGCAAAUUGAAGUCCAGGCAGUCUAUCUUGCAAAACAGCGGCUCAAAUGGGAGCGUUUCAGUAAAACAAAGGAUAGAGAACUGGAACGGAUGAGGUUGGAGAAUGAAAGAAUGAAGAUUGAGAAUAAGCGCUUGGAGCUGGAUGUAAGGCGCAAGGAGUUAGAGCUUGAACUCAAGCUAAAAGGCAGUGGCAAUCUUGCAUGAAAUAUUUUUAACCAAUCAAGGCCGACUUGUAAGAUGCACUGGGCCAAUGCUGGAGUUUGAGGCAACAACUGGCAAUGAGAGGAGGGCCAUUAGGGUGGGACAUGCAUGUGGAAGCACAAGGGCUGGGUCGUUGAUGGUUUCUGUUGUUACUUGUUAGAGUAGACUGACGCAAGAAGGUUAAGGUCCACCAGUAGUUCGCCAGACAUUCGAAUGCAGUAGACUAUGUUGUAUGCCAGAUUUUGCUUCCUUUUUUUUGUCCCUACAUUAUUUGUGCUAGUAAGCUUGAUCUGUAUCAAAACUCAUGUAUUUCGGUUACUGGAAGCUUGGUAACCACAUGUGAUCAAAAUAUACUCUCAAGAUCAUUUUAUAUGUUGUUAAUGUUGUCAUCAAUUUAUGUAUAAUAACAAGGUCAGAUUGUCCGAUCCAUAAUCUGAGCUGCCAUUUUGU